rnacentral:rRNA from 1 species
GAACGCUAGCUACAGGCUUAACACAUGCAAGUCGAGGGGCAGCAUGGUCUUAGCUUGCUAAGGCCGAUGGCGACCGGCGCACGGGUGAGUAACACGUAUCCAACCUGCCGUCUACUCUUGGACAGCCUUCUGAAAGGAAGAUUAAUACAAGAUGGCAUCAUGAGUCCGCAUGUUCACAUGAUUAAAGGUAUUCCGGUAGACGAUGGGGAUGCGUUCCAUUAGAUAGUAGGCGGGGUAACGGCCCACCUAGUCUUCGAUGGAUAGGGGUUCUGAGAGGAAGGUCCCCCACAUUGGAACUGAGACACGGUCCAAACUCCUACGGGAGGCAGCAGUGAGGAAUAUUGGUCAAUGGGCGAGAGCCUGAACCAGCCAAGUAGCGUGAAGGAUGACUGCCCUAUGGGUUGUAAACUUCUUUUAUAAAGGAAUAAAGUCGGGUAUGCAUACCCGUUUGCAUGUACUUUAUGAAUAAGGAUCGGCUAACUCCGUGCCAGCAGCCGCGGUAAUACGGAGGAUCCGAGCGUUAUCCGGAUUUAUUGGGUUUAAAGGGAGCGUAGAUGGAUGUUUAAGUCAGUUGUGAAAGUUUGCGGCUCAACCGUAAAAUUGCAGUUGAUACUGGAUAUCUUGAGUGCAGUUGAGGCAGGCGGAAUUCGUGGUGUAGCGGUGAAAUGCUUAGAUAUCACGAAGAACUCCGAUUGCGAAGGCAGCCUGCUAAGCUGCAACUGACAUUGAGGCUCGAAAGUGUGGGUAUCAAACAGGAUUAGAUACCCUGGUAGUCCACACGGUAAACGAUGAAUACUCGCUGUUUGCGAUAUACGGCAAGCGGCCAAGCGAAAGCGUUAAGUAUUCCACCUGGGGAGUACGCCGGCAACGGUGAAACUCAAAGGAAUUGACGGGGGCCCGCACAAGCGGAGGAACAUGUGGUUUAAUUCGAUGAUACGCGAGGAACCUUACCCGGGCUUAAAUUGCAGAUGAAUUACGGUGAAAGCCGUAAGCCGCAAGGCAUCUGUGAAGGUGCUGCAUGGUUGUCGUCAGCUCGUGCCGUGAGGUGUCGGCUUAAGUGCCAUAACGAGCGCAACCCUUGUUGUCAGUUACUAACAGGUUCCGCUGAGGACUCUGACAAGACUGCCAUCGUAAGAUGUGAGGAAGGUGGGGAUGACGUCAAAUCAGCACGGCCCUUACGUCCGGGGCUACACACGUGUUACAAUGGGGGGUACAGAGGGCCGCUACCACGCGAGUGGAUGCCAAUCCCCAAAACCUCUCUCAGUUCGGACUGGAGUCUGCAACCCGACUCCACGAAGCUGGAUUCGCUAGUAAUCGCGCAUCAGCCACGGCGCGGUGAAUACGUUCCCGGGCCUUGUACACACCGCCCGUCAAGCCAUGGGAGCCGGGGGUACCUGAAGUGCGUAACCGCGAGGAGCGCCCUAGGGUAAAACUGGUGACUG